rnacentral:rRNA from 1 species
GAUGAGCGCUGGCGGCGCGCCUAACGCAUGCAAGUCGAACGGCACCCCUCUCCGGAGGGAAGCGAGUGGCGAACGGCUGAGUAACACGUGGAGAACCUGCCCCCUCCCCCGGGAUAGCCGCCCGAAAGGACGGGUAAUACCGGAUACCCCGGGGUGCCGCAUGGCACCCCGGCUAAAGCCCCGACGGGAGGGGAUGGCUCCGCGGCCCAUCAGGUAGACGGCGGGGUGACGGCCCACCGUGCCGACAACGGGUAGCCGGGUUGAGAGACCGACCGGCCAGAUUGGGACUGAGACCCGGCCCAGACUCCUACGGGAGGCAGCAGUGGGGAAUCUUGCGCAAUGGGGGGAACCCUGACGCAGCGACGCCGCGUGCGGGACGGAGGCCUUCGGGUCGUAAACCGCUUUCAGCAGGGAAGAGUCAAGACUGUACCUGCAGAAGAAGCCCCGGCUAACUACGUGCCAGCAGCCGCCGUAA